UAUUCGACAUCGAAAAUCCGCACGCGUGUCGACACAUGAAACGGGGUGCCUGUCUGCAAAAUGCAGAUCGGUUGUUUCAUGGGAUGCGCGUAAGCCACAAC
rnacentral:sRNA from 1 species